rnacentral:lncRNA from 1 species
UCUCUAGACUCUUUAAGCACAUCUCGCACAGGUAGUCAUCAUAACAUCUUUGAGCCCUUGACUGCCUUUCCGAGACCCCCACCCCUACCCGAGGCCCGAGCACACAGGGCACACCCCGACCCCAUGUUUGAAAUGCUGCCCGACACCUUCCUUUGGUUCGAGCACUCUGCUUGCCGAGACCCAAGUCCCGUAUUUCUAAUUAAUUAAUUAAUUAUUUUUUAAAUAUCUAAUUAUACUUAAUUAACAUAAUUUAAAUAAAAAAUAAAUUUUAAUGAUGGCA